rnacentral:rRNA from 1 species
AAAAAAAACUGUAUUGUACUUAAUGCACUUAAAGACUGGUUGCCCACUGAAGCUAAGCAGGACUGAGCCUGGUCAGUACCUGGAUGGGAGACCUCCUGGGAAAACUAGGUUGCUG